rnacentral:ribozyme from 1 species
CCGUCCUCCUCCCGAUGCUCUGCGGCUUUAUUCUUCGAUUUUUCCACGAGUUGCGCGACUUCUGCUCCGGUGUCGGCCGUCGAGAGGCGUCAUUCAUAUACUCCCUUUUCCUAUUCGUAGUUUGG